rnacentral:rRNA from 1 species
UACGUAGGGUGCAAGCGUUAAUCGGAAUUACUGGGCGUAAAGGCGUGCGCAGGCGGUUAGUAUAAGACAGUUGUGAAAUCCCCGGGCUCAACCCUGGGAACUGCAUCUGUGACUGUAUAGCUAGAGUACGGGUAGAGGGGGAUGGAAUUCCGCGUGUAGCAAGUGAAAUGCGUAGAUAUGCGGAGGAACACCGAUGGCGAAGGCAAUCCCCUGGACCUGUACUGACGCUCAUGCACGAAAGCGUGGGGAGCAAACAGG